GUUUUCAACUACUUUUUUAAAGACAACAUUAUCAAAUUUGCGUUUAAAACAAGCCUUUUGCAAAUAAGAAUGGACUUAGUCUUAAUUAUUUUUGAACAAAUGUAUCUAUUUAUGCAAAAUUCUAGUUCUUAUUCCCACCCUUCGGAUGAAUUAGAAAAACACUAGCCUCUAGACAAGUUUGUUCGAAAUUUUCUUAAAGUAAUUGACUAUCAUCUAGAGAAAUAACUAAAAAGUUCUUAGUUUUGAAAUCAUUCUUAG
rnacentral:lncRNA from 1 species